AUGGCGGCGAGCCGGCAAGGAACAACACCCCAGCUUUCUCCCUUUGCAUCGUUGUGGAUCAGCACCGCAGCAUCACGCACCAUGAGCGCAUCACCGUGCCAGUGUGUCAUCGUUUUGUCGUUAAAGGUCCAUCCACGAGGGAUACAACCGCGUCCCGAUCCCCGCCGCCGCGCGCCCGAUCUCCUCUGCCUCCCGAAUCCCAAUCGCGCCCCAAUCCCCACCGCCGGGCCCCGAUCUUCUCCGCCUCCUGUAUCCCGGUCGUGCCCCCGUCCCCGCCGUGGCGGCCGGAUUCCUGACGUUGCGACUGGAUCACGCCGCGUCCUGGCUAUCCAGUGUCCCACCGUCAACACCUUCCUUCUCCAAGGAUGGUGA
rnacentral:rRNA from 1 species